rnacentral:rRNA from 1 species
UACAGAGGGUGCAAGCGUUGUUCGGAAUUAUUGGGCGUAAAGCGCGUGUAGGCGGCUUUGCAAGUCGGGUGUGAAAGCCCUCAGCUCAACUGAGGAAGUGCGCCCGAAACUGCAGAGCUUGAGUGCCGGAGAGGGUGGCGGAAUUCCCCAAGUAGAGGUGAAAUUCGUAGAUAUGGGGAGGAACACCGGUGGCGAAGGCGGCCGACCUGGACAGUAACUGACGCUGAGACGCGAAAGCGUGGGUAGCAAACAGG